GUUACUUCAAAAUCGUAACACAUAUCGCAUAGAACUACUCCCUGUUUUACUGUAAUUGAGAUUCAAGAGCAAGGAGAAAGACAAUGGGAGAUUGCAAGCCAUUAGGGUUUUUGUUAGGACUUCCCUUUGCAUUGCUUGCAUUAGUUUUGUCCAUUGUUGGUACAGUAAUAUGGCUCAUUGGGACAAUAUUGAGUUGCUUGUGCCCAUGUUGUGUAUGCUGUGCAGCUCUGGCCAAUUUUGCAGUGGAUAUGGUGCAUCUUCCUGUUAGGAUACUUGGAUGGUUCACUGAUCAAAUCCCUUGUUAAUGCUGCUGCUGCUGAUAAUUUCUAUUUUCUCUUUUUGCUAAUUCCAUAUUCCAUCCAUAAUCUUCUGUUGGAAAUUUUUUAUGCCCAAAUAAACUUUGUAAUUCCUCUAAUGGUUUGAUAUAUAUCUUGUUUAUGCUCAUUUCGAACUUUGGAAUUUA